rnacentral:rRNA from 1 species
AAUAUUGCGCAAUGGAGGGAACUCUGACGCAGCGACGCCGCGUGAGCGAUGAAGGUCUUCGGAUCGUAAAGCUCUGUCCUUGGGGAAGAAGGGAGCCGUAAGGCUUCUUGACGGUACCCAUGGAGGAAGCCCCGGCUAACUACGUGCCAGCAGCCGCGGUAAUACGUAGGGGGCAAGCGUUGUCCGGAAUUAUUGGGCGUAAAGGGUGCGUAGGCGGCCCUUUAAGUCAGAUGUGAAAACCCACGGCUUAACCGUGGGACUGCAUUUGAAACUGGAGGGCUUGAGUGUCGGAGAGGGUAGUGGAAUUCCCGGAGUAGCGGUGAAAUGCGUAGAUAUUGGGAAGAACACCAGUAGCGAAGGCGGCUACCUGGUCCGACACUGACGCUGAGGCGCGAAAGCGUGGGGAGCAAAC